UACGAAGGGGGCUAGCGUUGCUCGGAAUCACUGGGCGUAAAGCGCACGUAGGCGGCUUCUUAAGUCAGGGGUGAAAUCCUGGAGCUCAACUCCAGAACUGCCUUUGAUACUGAGAAGCUUGAGUCCGGGAGAGGUGAGUGGAACUGCGAGUGUAGAGGUGAAAUUCGUAGAUAUUCGCAAGAACACCAGUGGCGAAGGCGGCUCACUGGCCCGGUACUGACGCUGAGGUGCGAAAGCGUGGGGAGCAAACAGGGAGU
rnacentral:rRNA from 1 species